AAAACAAAAAGACGAAUGAAAACAAUGAUCAUAAAUACAUAUUGGUGGUGGCGUCCGUUACAACUCCGACAGUCGUAAGGGAGCAGUGCUCGUAUGUAUAUAUGUAAAUAGGAUAAAGAAUCACAAAGAGCUCUGUC
rnacentral:ncRNA from 1 species